GUUAAUGACUACUAAUAGUCCAGUCAUAAGAUUUUUCAUGUUUAUAAUUUAGUUUUUGAAGUAGUGUAACUGAAUAUAUUCAUUAUCAUAAUACAUUUCAGGAAUUAGGAAUAUUCAAAGGUAUUGUAAAAAAUCAAAUUAUUCUGCACUUUUUUUAGUAUGGACAAUUAAAAUGGCCUAAUAUACCAAUUUGUGUUCUUUGUUUGUUACCUCAUGUUAAAUCUAUAGUCAUCUAUAGGAUGAACAGUAUGGAUCAAGAUUUUAUGCAUUAUUUGAACUUAAAUGAGUAUUUUACACAAAUUUCAUUUUUAGCUCACCUGGCCCAAAGGGCCAAGUGAGCUUUUCUCAUCACUUGGUGUCCAGCGUCGUUUACUUUUACAAAAAUCUUCUCCUCUGAAACCACUUGGCCAAAUUUAACCAAACUUGGCCACAAUCAUCAUUGGGGUAUCUAGUUUAAAAAAUGUGUGGCGUGACCCAGCCAACCAACCAAAAUGGCCACCAUGGCUAAAAAUAGAACAUAUGGGGUAAAAUGUAGAUUUUGGCUUUUAACUCUGAAACCAAAGCAUUUAGAGCAAAUCUGACAAGGGGUUAAAUUGUUUAUCAGUUCAAGAUCUAUCUGUCCUGAGAUUUUUCGACGAAUCGAACAACCGGUUGUUGGGUUUCUGCCCCUGAAUUGGCAAUUUUAAGGAAAUUUUGCCGUUUUUUUUGCUAUUAUCUUGAAUAUUAUUAUAGAUAGAGAUAAACUGUAAACAGCAAUAAUGUUCAGCAAAGUAAGAUCCACAAAUAAGUCAACAUGACCAAAAUGGUCAGUUGACCCCUGAAGGAGUUAUUGUCCUUUAUAGUCAAUUUUUAAUAAUUUUCAUAAAUUUUGUUAAUUUUUGUAAAUUUUAACAAACUAUUUUCCUCUGUAACUAAUGGGCCAAGUUCAUUAUAAAUAGAGAUAAUUGUAAGAAGCAAGAAUGUUCAGUAAAGUAAGAUCUACAAACAUAUAAACAUCACCAAAACACAAUUUUGUCAUUAAUCCAUCUGUGUCCUUUGUUUAAUAUGCACAUAGACCAAGGUGAGCGACACAGGCUCUUAAGAGCCUCUAGUUAUACUAAUAAUGCAAAUUUGGUAAUACUCUAUACAAUUUUUAACAUGUUACUCAAGAAUAUCUGUUUAUUUUUCAUCACUGAUUGUAAAUUUAAGUUAUAACCAGUCAAUUUAUUUUUUGAAGAUAUUUUCAAACAUAUUAAGGGUCUAAGAAUUUUGAAGCCAGUUUAUGGUUAUCCAGAUAUUACAGAUAUAAAAUAAAUUAGAUUCUAAAAACUUUCUCAUAAACCCCAUUAUGUAUAUAAUACGCUGUGAAGUGUAAAAAUUUUCAUAUUAAGAAUACUAGAAUAUCCAUUUGUGUUAAUUCGAUUAUUAAUUAAGAUAAAGGAAACGAAAAUUUGAAAAUAUGACCACUGAUAGUAUGGGUUAUAUAAGGGGUAAAUGAACCUGGAAAUGGGGUCUGAAGAGAGAGUCAUGGAUAAAACAACCUGGAUAAGAGGGGAGUAAAAAUUAUAGAUAUUCUGGAAAAGUUUCUCUGUUCUUCAUUUGGGGUAGGGAUAGGAUUGAGUCGAAAGAAUUUGGAGUUGAGGAAAGGGAAAUUGGAUAUCAAGGACCCCUGUCUACCCACUUUGAUACGAUUAACCUUAGAAAUGGAAAAAAAUCAAACACCUUUGAAAUAAUCCACUUUACAGUAUCAUCAUUAUCAUAUGGUUUGUCCCUGUUCUCAUCUACUUGUAUAUUGAAAAAUCUUCUAGGGUAUUUUGUUGCAUUAAGUUGAAUGCAGAUAGUACUUUUAACUAUAACUUCCCUCAGAAGGUGGAGAAAUACUGGAUGUACACAGUCUAUCUUUUACACUUUUCUUUUGCUGUUUUUUUUUUUUGGAAAAUAUAAAUCAGUUGUAUGACAUUUGUUGCCAUAUAUCAUCUGUACUGUGUGAUAUUUACCAAAUUCUUGUCAUCUUGUUUAUUAAAUUUACCUAUUCAAGAUAUCUCCCAUGUUUCAAAUCAAUUGCCACUCCGAUUUCUGAUAUUCAUAAUAUAAAUACUUCUUGCGUCUGGUUUAUUUUAAAGUUUGAAGCUAGUCUUCUGCAUACUUACCAAAGAUCUGAGGGUUUAUCAUAGGUUUUUUUUGUAAUAUAAUAUUGUCUUCAUUCAAUAUAAGAGAAAAUGGCUACCUGUACAUGUUGUUUUCACAGAUCUUUCUGAACAAAAAUAACUUACCGUUUGUCUUUCUUUGAACUUGUAAAGUUCAUUGGCCCCUUUUAUUUAUUAAAAAUGCAUAAUCUUUAACUGGGUUUUGCCUAUAAGGUUAUAUUGAUUUCUAAGUUUUUUUGCUAUUUAUGUACUUUGUAUUUGUAGAUACCACCUGAUUUUCGAAGCUUGAAAAAACAAUCUCACACCUGUUGAACUGUUGUGUAAUGCUAUGAAUCACAUACAAUGACAGAAUUUAUCUAGGUAUUAUCAUCCUACCAUAUGUUUUUCCAAGACAUUUGAUUUAUAAUGGUAUGGCAACCUGUUAUUCUUGACAAAUGUACUUAAACAUUUAAUAUUUCUUUUUUUUCAGUAGAUUUUCAUAAGUGUAUAUGGUAUACUUGCAAAUAGCCUUAAUUCUCCAUAUCAUUUUAUAAAUGUAUAAUUGACAAUAAUUGAUAUAUUAAAGCAUAAAGAUGGUUGACAAAGUGACUUGAAAUAUUCUGUAUAAUCUAAUCAUUAAUUGACACACUGAAUUGUAUAUAUUUUUUCACAUUCAGUUACUUUAAUAUUUACAGUGGUUUAUAUAUGCUAGACUUUUCACUACUGUUAUCAAAUAUGA
rnacentral:lncRNA from 1 species